rnacentral:ncRNA from 1 species
UAUCUUCAGGGCAGGGUGUGAUUCCCGAUUGGCGGUAUAGUCCGCAAGCAUGAAAGCAGAUUUGGUGAAACUCCAAAACCAACAGUAUAGUCUGGAUAAAAGAAGAUG